AUGUGGUUGUGAUUCAGGAGGAGAGUGUGACCUCAUCUUUAAGCACAGCCUUAAUGAAGAGGUAAAAACACUCCAGCUUUGGAUGCUGAGGUCAAAGGAUGCCACCGAUUCUCUUCUUUCGCUGUCCUGGAUCGAAAUAGUGGAGUGAAGCAAGUGGAAAGUCAUAGAUUUUGGACUGAGAUACUACAACCGACGGGUACUCCUUUCGGACUCAGAUAGUACAACCACUAAGUAAGUACUCCUGUUGGACUCAGAGACUACAUCCACUGAGUACUCCUGUUGAAGUCAGAUACUACAGCCACUAGGUACUCUGGUUGGACUCAGAUACUACAACCAAUGGGUACUCCUGUUGGACUCAGAUACUGCAACCAAUGGGUACUCCAGUUGGACUCAGAUACUACAUCCACUGAGUACUCCAGUUGGACUCACAUACUAUAACCGCUGAGUACUUGGUUGGACUCAGAUACUACAACCAAGAAAGAGGUACUCCUGUUGGACUCAGAUACUACAACCACUGAGUACUCUGGCUGGACUCAGAUACUACAACCACUAGGUAUUCCUGUUGGACUCAGAUACUACAACCACUAAGUACUCUGGUUGGACUCAGACACUAUAACCAAUGGGUACUCCUGUUGGACUCAGAUACUACAACCACUGAAGUACUCUGGCUGGACUCAGACACUACACCCAGUGGGUACUCCUGUUGGACUUGGACACUACAACCAGUGGGUACUCCUGUUGGACACAGAUACUACAUCUGCUGAGUACUCUGGCUGGACUCAGAUACUACAACCAGUGGGUACUCCUGAUGGACUCAGAUACUAAAACCACUGAGUACGCUGGCUGGACUGGACUCAGAUACUACAACCACUGAAGUACUCUGGUUGGACUCAGACACUACAACCAAUGGGUACGCCUGUUGGACUCAGAUACUACACCUGCUGAGUACUCUGACUGGACUCAGAUACUACAACCAGUGGGUACUCCUGUUGGACUCAAAUACUACAACUGCUGAGUACUCUGGCUGGAUUCAGAUACUACAACCACUGAGUAUUCCCGUUGGACUCUGAUACUACUACAUCCACUGAGUAUUCCCGUUGAACUCAGAUACUACAACCAGUGGGUACUCCUGUUGGACUCAGAUAUUACAACCGCUGAGUACUCUGGCUGGAUUCAGAUAAUACAACCACGGAGUAUUCCCACUGGACUCCGACACUACCUCCACUGAGUAUUCCUAUUGGACGCAGAUACUACAACCAAUGGGUACUCUGGUUGGACCUAGAUACUACAUCCAGUGAUUACUCUGGUUGGACUCCGAUACUACAUCCACUGAGUAUUCCUGUUGGACUCAGAUACCACAACCAAUGGGUACUCCUGUUGGACUCAGAUACUACAACCACUGAGUACUCUGGUUGAACCUAGAUACUAUGCUACCUGGGACCCUGAGCAAGUCACUUCACCUCUCACUAAAUCCAUUUCCUCCUGUGUACAGUAGGGAUGGUAACUAUUUAGUAAGAAGUAAAUGAGGUCACCCAUGUUUCAGGGUGACAUUGUGAAGGAUAUUGGUUAACAUGUUCUUUUUUCUUUCUGUUAGUCCCUGAAUGUUGCCACUUUUAACAUGAGUUCCCCUAUCCCCUGCAGCUUCUGGCCCAGGGGAGACUGGAACAUCAAAUCAAAUCAUUGCAUUUUUAGUUUUGAAGAGCUAAGGGCUAGAUAUAAGACAGGGGGAUUUGGCAGAAAUAUUGUGAAGUCAGUAUCUCCAAAGUUCAUGUCACUGCAGAGGAAAUAAAUUAUCUCUGAAUUUGUGGAUGAGAAGACAAUUGGAAACAGCAGACAUUUAGAUACUAGUGAGAGUUCUGUAUCCUGUAUCCCACACAAGCAGGUGAACGAGAAGGCUUAAGGGAGGGCGGCCAACAACUAUGGGAUAUUCCAAAAAGAUACAAAUCUGAGAGGCAGGGGGAUACAUGUACCCCUUCCAGUCUGGGAGGAGUUUCUUCCACCAUCAAGGUAGGGGGACAGAACAAUAGAGAUGCCUGAGCAGGCUACAGGGGCAGAAAGGUCUGAGGCAGCCCCACUGUUCCUCUCAUGGACCCUGAGUAGAAGCUAGGUCAGCCAGGGUUUCCUUUGUAGGAGGUAGGAUGAAGAUGGUGGUAAAGAGAUCUGUGAGCUCAGAGAUCUGGUGGGAACACAGAGGUCACAGAGACUUGCACGUGCUCUUCUAGAACCUUGCCUAUUUCCCAGAGUGACAUGAGUCUAAGUCUCCUCCUCCCCUGCCCUUGAAUCUGAGUGGGCUUCAUUUUGCUUGCAACCAAAAUAAUGCAGCAGAAGUGACCCUGCGUGACUUCCAAGGCUAGGUCAUAGUGCAUAGAAGAUGAUGCAGCUUCCUCCUUGUUUACUGGAAUACUUGAUCUUGAAGCCUUCAGCACCAUGCAAGGCAGUCUGAUUGCUCUGGAGCCACCAUGCUUCCAGGAAGCUCAACUAUCUCACUUGGAAAGGCCAUGAGACUACGUGGAGUGAGAGAGAUGCUGGGUCCAGUUUCUCCAGUCCCCACCUAAUGUAUGCUGUUCCAGGUCCACCCAUGACCUGGUUUUAUGGCCUGGAGCCAGACCACCCAGCCAGGCUCCUCCUGAAUUCAUGACCCACAGAAACCAUGA
rnacentral:lncRNA from 1 species